GAAUCUUCCACAAUGGACGAAAGUCUGAUGGCGCAACGCCGCGUGAGCGAAGAAGGUUUUCGGAUCGUAAAGCUCUGUUGCGAGGGAAGAACAAGUACGGGAGUAACUGCCCGUACCUUGACGGUACCUCGCCAGAAAGCCACGGCUAACUACCUGUCCGCCGCCGCGGGAAUACGUAGGUGGCAAGCGUUUACCGGAAUUAAUGGGCGUAAAGGGCGAGCAGGCGGUCCUUUAAGUCUAGAGUGAAAGCCCACGGCUCAACCGUGGAAGGUCAUUGGAAACUGGAGGACUUGAGUACAGAAGAGGAAAGCGGAAUUCCACGUGUUGGGGUGAAAUGCGUAGGGAUGUGGAGGAACACCAGUGGCGAAGGCGGCUUUCUGGUCUGUAACUGACGCUGAGGCGCGAAAGCGUGGGGAGCAAACA
rnacentral:rRNA from 1 species